rnacentral:rRNA from 1 species
GAUGAACGCUGGCGGCGUGCCUAAUACAUGCAAGUCGAGCGAACAGACGAGAGUGCUUGCACUCUCUGACGUUAGCGGCGGACGGGUGAGAAACACGUGGGUAACCUACCUAUAAGACUGGGAUUACUUCGGGAAACCGGAGCUAAUAACGGCUAAUAUUUAGCUUCGCAUGAAGCAAUAGUGAAAGACGGUUCUGCUGUCACUUAUAGGUGGACCCGCGGUGUAGUAGCUAGUUGGCGGGGUAACGGCUCACCAAGGCCACGGUCCAUAGCCGACCUGAGAGGAUGAUCGGCCACACUGGGACUGAGACACGGCCCAGACUCCUACGGGAGGCAGCAGUAGGGAAUCUUCCGCAAUGGACGAAAGUCUGACGGAGCAAUGCCGCGUGAGUGAAGAAGGUUUUCGGAUCGUAAAACUCUGUUGUUAGGGAAGAACAGGUGCGUUAGUAACUGAACGUAUCUUGACGGUACCUUACCAGAAAGCCACGGCUAACUACGUG